rnacentral:ncRNA from 1 species
GCCGCCUAAGGUGGGACAGAUGAUUGGGGUGAAGUCGUAACAAGGUAGCCGUAUCGGAAGGUGCGGCUGGAUCACCUCCUUU